UACGUAGGGGGCAAGCGUUGUUCGGAAUGACUGGGCGUAAAGGGAGCGUAGACGGCAGCACAAGUCUGGAGUGAAAUCCCAUGGCUUAACCAUGGAACUGCUUUGGAAACUGUGCAGCUGGAGUGCAGGAGAGGUAAGCGGAAUUCCUAGUGUAGCGGUGAAAUGCGUAGAUAUUAGGAAGAACACCAGUGGCGAAGGCGGGUUACUGGACGACAACUGACGGUGAGGCGCGAAAGCGUGGGGAGCAAACAGG
rnacentral:rRNA from 1 species